rnacentral:rRNA from 5 species
CCCGUUCCCAUACCGAACACGGAAGUUAAGCUCUCUAGCGCCGAUGGUAGUUGGGACCUUGUCCCUGUGAGAGUAGGACGUCGCCAAGCA